CUGUUUUGAAACCCCUUUAACAAUGAAGUUACUCGUCUCUGGCUAGAUCUUCUGAUGUGUGGCAUUUUUCCAGAAUUCCUCGAGGUAAAUGAAGCACAGACACCGACAUUGUAGGCCCUCGCCCACUGCUCUAUAAACUUAAUUCAGCUUUAACUCAUGAACAGGAAAUUAGAUACAAGAGAAAGAUGCCGGUUCAUGAUUUCUCAGCAUUCCAGUCUAUACAGUAAGGGAAUACAGACUGCAUAUUCCAGACGUGAACCAAGAUCAAUCCUGGUUGUAUACCAUCAGAGGGAUUGUGUACCUAGCAUAACACAGGU